UAAGAGUUAGUUUAUAUUAGAAUUAUUGACUGUUAAUCAAGAGGAAGAGCUCUUAAA
rnacentral:tRNA from 1 species